AAUGACGCAGCGCAAGAAGUUCAGUCUCUCAAUGAAGAGCACAAAUCAGAAGAUGGAGAAUCAUAUCCUGAAAUCCAACAGGAAGGAACAGAAAACACGGACAAGAAGACUGCAGAAGAACCUGAGGUGUUAGAAGAAUGCAAGCAAGGUGUCCAAGAGGUCAAGGUCCCAGAAGUUGAAGAAGAAACUCAGGGAAAAAAAGUUCAGGAUGAAGUUAUUAUUCCUUUAGCUGACAUUAAGGAAGAAGUCAGCCGAAUUCCAGAACCAGCGGCUGAAGUAAUUUCUAAGGAAACACCAGAGGACAAGCCAAAACAGGAAGAAGAAGAAGAAGAAGAGCUGAGUGUCAACCAUGAGAAGGCUGAAGUUAAAAAGGAAAACCAGGAAAGUGAAAACUUACAGAAUGUAGAUGCUGCAACUGAGGUUGCUGAAGAAACCCAAGAAGUUUCGGAAGAGGUGCUGAAAACUGGAUUAGAGAGUGAAGCAGCUAAUAUUCAAGAAAGGGGGAAUUCUGAAGAUGAAUUGAAGCAGGAAAUUGUGGCUUCAGAUUCCACUUUGAAGAUAAUUGCAGAAUCCAAUGACGCAGCGCCAGAAGUUCAGUCUCUCCCUGAAGAGCACAAAUCAGAAGAUGGAGAAUCAUAUCCUGAAAUCCAACUGGAAGGAACAGAAAACACGGACAAGAAGACUACAGAAGAACCUGAGGUGUUAGAAGAAUGCAAGCAAGAAGAAGGUGUCCAAGAGAUCAAGGUCCCAGAAGUUGAAGAAGAAACUCAGGGAAAAGAAGUUCAGGAUGAAGUUAUUAUUCCUUUAGCUGACA
rnacentral:lncRNA from 1 species